rnacentral:rRNA from 1 species
GACGUAGGGGGCGAACGUUAUCCGGAAUUAUUGGGCGUAAAGGGUGCGUAGGUGGCCUGACAAGUUAUCAGUGGCAAAUCGAGGCUCAACCUCGUGGAAACUGGUAAUACUGUUCGGCUUGAGUACAGGAGAGGUUAACGGAACUCUAUGUGGAGCGGUAAAAUGCACAGAUAUAUAGAAGAACAUCAAUAAAGGCGAAGGCAGUUAACUAGUCUGUUACUGACGCUGAGGCACGAAAGCGUGGGGAGCAAAACGG